AACUGAUACUACCUGCGGGAACCUGCGGAAGGAUCAUUACUGAGUGUAUUUUUUUUCUGAAUUGAAAGAUUCAUGAAAAGAAACCUCCCACCCUUUGUUUAAAAGACCUGUUGCUUCGGCAAGACUGAUAUUCUUAAUUGAAUAUCUGUCGACUAAAAUUCAAUUUUUAGUGGGCUAGUUUUUUGCUUGCCGAAGUUUUUAACAACUCUUUUUUUUUAUAUAUUUGAUUUGAAAAAACAA
rnacentral:misc_RNA from 1 species